GGGCAAAUAGCGUAGUGGUUAUCGCGCUCGCUUUGCAUGCGAGAGGUCCCCGGUUCAAUCCCGGGUUUGUCCA
rnacentral:tRNA from 1 species